GACGAACGCUGGCGGCGUGCUUAACACAUGCAAGUCGAACGGAAAGGCCCUGCUUUUGUGGGGUGCUCGAGUGGCGAACGGGUGAGUAACACGUGAGUAACCUGCCCUUGACUUUGGGAUAACUUCAGGAAACUGGGGCUAAUACCGGAUAGGAGCUCCUGCUGCAUGGUGGGGGUUGGAAAGUUUCGGCGGUUGGGGAUGGACUCGCGGCUUAUCAGCUUGUUGGUGGGGUAGUGGCUUACCAAGGCUUUGACGGGUAGCCGGCCUGAGAGGGUGACCGGCCACAUUGGGACUGAGAUACGGCCCAGACUCCUACGGGAGGCAGCAGUGGGGAAUAUUGCACAAUGGGCGGAAGCCUGAUGCAGCAACGCCGCGUGCGGGAUGACGGCCUUCGGGUUGUAAACCGCUUUCGCCUGUGACGAAGCGUGAGUGACGGUAAUGGGUAAAGAAGCACCGGCUAACUACGUGCCAGCCGCCGCGGUAAU
rnacentral:rRNA from 1 species